rnacentral:rRNA from 1 species
UUAAGCGACUAAGCGUACACGGUGGAUGCCCUGGCAGUCAGAGGCGAUGAAGGGCGUGCUAAUCUGCGAUAAGCGCCGGUAAGGUGAUAUGAACCGUUAUAACCGGCGAUACCCGAAUGGGGAAACCCAGUGUGAUUCGUCACACUAUCAUUAACUGAAUCCAUAGGUUAAUGAGGCGAACCGGGGGAACUGAAACAUCUAAGUACCCCGAGGAAAAGAAAUCAACCGAGAUUCCCCCAGUAGCGGCGAGCGAACGGGGAGGAGCCCAGAGCCUGAAUCAGCAUGUGUGUUAGUGGAAGCGUCUGGAAAGGUGCGCGAUACAGGGUGACAGCCCCGUACACAAAAGCGCAUGUGCUGUGAGCUCGAUGAGUAGGGCGGGACACGUGGUAUCCUGUCUGAAUAUGGGGGGACCAUCCUCCAAGGCUAAAUACUCCUGACUGACCGAUAGUGAACCAGUACCGUGGAGGGAAAGGCGAAAAGAACCCCGGCGAGGGGAGUGAAAAAGAACCUGAAACCGUGUACGUACAAGCAGUGGGAGCACAGGUUUACCUGUGUGACUGCGUACCUUUUGUAUAAUGGGUCAGCGACUUAUAUUCUGUAGCAAGGUUAACCGUAUAGGGGAGCCGUAGGGAAACCGAGUCUUAACCGGGCGUUAAGUUGCAGGGUAUAGACCCGAAACCCGGUGAUCUAGCCAUGGGCAGGUUGAAGGUUGGGUAACACUAACUGGAGGACCGAACCGACUAAUGUUGAAAAAUUAGCGGAUGACCUGUGGCUGGGGGUGAAAGGCCAAUCAAACCGGGAGAUAGCUGGUUCUCCCCGAAAGCUAUUUAGGUAGCGCCUCGUGAAUUCAUCUCCGGGGGUAGAGCACUGUUUCGGCUAGGGGGCCAUCCCGGCUUACCAACCCGAUGCAAACUGCGAAUACCGGAGAAUGUUAUCACGGGAGACACACGGCGGGUGCUAACGUCCGUCGUGAAGAGGGAAACAACCCAGACCGCCAGCUAAGGUCCCAAAGUCAUGGUUAAGUGGGAAACGAUGUGGGAAGGCCCAGACAGCCAGGAUGUUGGCUUAGAAGCAGCCAUCAUUUAAAGAAAGCGUAAUAGCUCACUGGUCGAGUCGGCCUGCGCGGAAGAUGUAACGGGGCUAAACCAUGCACCGAAGCUGCGGCAGCGAACGUAUCACCCAAGACAACUUUACGGAGUUGACGAUUGACGGAGCGAAGCGACGUCAAAGCGUUCAUUAAAGUCGAGUUGGCUUAGGGAUACGUUCGUUGGGUAGGGGAGCGUUCUGUAAGCCUGUGAAGGUGUGUCGUGAGGCAUGCUGGAGGUAUCAGAAGUGCGAAUGCUGACAUAAGUAACGAUAAAGCGGGUGAAAAGCCCGCUCGCCGGAAGACCAAGGGUUCCUGUCCAACGUUAAUCGGGGCAGGGUGAGUCGACCCCUAAGGCGAGGCCGAAAGGCGUAGUCGAUGGGAAACGGGUUAAUAUUCCCGUACUUGGUGUUACUGCGAAGGGGGGACGGAGAAGGCUAUGUUGGCCGGGCGACGGUUGUCCCGGUUUAAGCGUGUAGGUGUGUGUUCCAGGUAAAUCCGGUUCACUUUAACACUGAGGCGUGACGACGAGGCACUACGGUGCUGAAGCAACAAAUGCCCUGCUUCCAGGAAAAGCCUCUAAGCAUCAGGUAACAUCAAAUCGUACCCCAAACCGACACAGGUGGUCAGGUAGAGAAUACCAAGGCGCUUGAGAGAACUCGGGUGAAGGAACUAGGCAAAAUGGUGCCGUAACUUCGGGAGAAGGCACGCUGACACGUAGGUGAAGUGAUUUACUCAUGGAGCUGAAGUCAGUCGAAGAUACCAGCUGGCUGCAACUGUUUAUUAAAAACACAGCACUGUGCAAACACGAAAGUGGACGUAUACGGUGUGACGCCUGCCCGGUGCCGGAAGGUUAAUUGAUGGGGUCAGCGCAAGCGAAGCUCCUGAUCGAAGCCCCGGUAAACGGCGGCCGUAACUAUAACGGUCCUAAGGUAGCGAAAUUCCUUGUCGGGUAAGUUCCGACCUGCACGAAUGGCGUAAUGAUGGCCAGGCUGUCUCCACCCGAGACUCAGUGAAAUUGAACUCGCUGUGAAGAUGCAGUGUACCCGCGGCAAGACGGAAAGACCCCGUGAACCUUUACUAUAGCUUGACACUGAACAUUGAGCCUUGAUGUGUAGGAUAGGUGGGAGGCUUUGAAGUGUGGACGCCAGUCUGCAUGGAGCCGACCUUGAAAUACCACCCUUUAAUGUUUGAUGUUCUAACGUGGACCCGUAAUCCGGGUUGCGGACAGUGUCUGGUGGGUAGUUUGACUGGGGCGGUCUCCUCCUAAAGAGUAACGGAGGAGCACGAAGGUUGGCUAAUCCUGGUCGGACAUCAGGAGGUUAGUGCAAUGGCAUAAGCCAGCUUGACUGCGAGCGUGACGGCGCGAGCAGGUGCGAAAGCAGGUCAUAGUGAUCCGGUGGUUCUGAAUGGAAGGGCCAUCGCUCAACGGAUAAAAGGUACUCCGGGGAUAACAGGCUGAUACCGCCCAAGAGUUCAUAUCGACGGCGGUGUUUGGCACCUCGAUGUCGGCUCAUCACAUCCUGGGGCUGAAGUAGGUCCCAAGGGUAUGGCUGUUCGCCAUUUAAAGUGGUACGCGAGCUGGGUUUAGAACGUCGUGAGACAGUUCGGUCCCUAUCUGCCGUGGGCGCUGGAGAACUGAGGGGGGCUGCUCCUAGUACGAGAGGACCGGAGUGGACGCAUCACUGGUGUUCGGGUUGUCAUGCCAAUGGCACUGCCCGGUAGCUAAAUGCGGAAGAGAUAAGUGCUGAAAGCAUCUAAGCACGAAACUUGCCCCGAGAUGAGUUCUCCCUGAGACUUAGAGUCUCCUGAAGGAACGUUGAAGACGACGACGUUGAUAGGCCGGGUGUGUAAGCGCAGCGAUGCGUUGAGCUAACCGGUACUAAUGAACCGUGAGGCUUAACCUU